GACGAACGCUGGCGGCGUGCUUAACACAUGCAAGUCGAACGGAAAGGCCCUGCUUUUGUGGGGUGCUCGAGUGGCGAACGGGUGAGUAACACGUGAGAAACCUGCCCUUGACUUUGGGAUAACUUCAGGAAACUGGGGCUAAUACCGGAUAGGAGCUCCUGCUGCAUGGUGGGGGUUGGAAAGUUUCGGCGGUUGGGGAUGGACUCGCGGCUUAUCAGCUUGUUGGUGGGGUAGUGGCUUACCAAGGCUUUGACGGGUAGCCGGCCUGAGAGGGUGACCGGCCACAUUGGGACUGAGAUACGGCCCAGACUCCUACGGGAGGCAGCAGUGGGGAAUAUUGCACAAUGGGCGGAAGCCUGAUGCAGCAACGCCGCGUGCGGGAUGACGGCCUUCGGGUUGUAAACCGCUUUCGCCUGUGACGAAGCGUGAGUGACGGUAAUGGGUAAAGAAGCACCACUAACUACGUG
rnacentral:rRNA from 1 species